rnacentral:misc_RNA from 1 species
AACGCAUCUUGCGCCCUUUGGUAUUCCGAAGGGCAUGCCUGUUUGAGUGUCAUUAAAUUCUCAACUACAAAAGUUUUUUUUGUAGCUUGGAUAUUGGAGGUCUUUGCAGGCUCGAAAGGGUCAGCUCCUCUUAAAUGCAUUAGCAGAACUUUAAAAAGGAUCGGCUUUGGUUUGAUAAUAUCUAUGCCAUCGCUGGAACAAUUAUUAGUUCAGCUUAUAAUCGUCUUAGGACUGUCUUUUCAAAGGCAUUAUUUAAACUUGACCUCAAAUCAGGUAGGACUACCCGCUGAACUUAA